GUCUUUUGUGGUCUGGGGAGACGAUAGGGUUUCUGGUCUCUUCCUCUUCUUUCUCUCACCUGCCAUUUCCAUUUUGGGUUCCUUCUUUGUUCUCUCUCCUCUUUCUGGUUUAGUCGCUGUCUCAUCUCUUAUUCUCUUGAUGCUCGUCCUUUCGUUUUUGGUGAUUAGGUAUGUAGUUUCUGCUGCGGAGCUGCUUCUUUUUCUGUCUCUCACUGGUCGGGUUUUAGAUCUAAGCUCUGUGCGAUUUCUGAAACCCUAGCUCUCUCUAGAGCGUGACUUGGUGAAAACAAUGGCUGAAAAUGUGAGUAGAUUGAAUAAAACCAUGGCUGAGAUAGUUAGAUCAGAUUCUAACCGAAUUGUAGAUUGAUAGAUCUCUGAAAACCCUAGCUCAGUAUCAUUCUUUUCUUCUGAGUCAGUAUGGUGUGUGAGAACCCUAGCUCACUGCCGUGCUCUCUUCUGAGUCUUUAGAGCCUGAUUUGUGAACCCUAGCUCAGAUUAUUAGGUCAGAUAUCAGCCCUAAUCUUAGUCUGUUAGAUCUCUGAAAGCGCCGAUUUAUCUUGUCUAAAUUUUAGAGAAAGCCUAGGUCAGAUGAUCAGAUCUGUGAAAGACCUGGAUUGGAUGAUUAAAUCUUACUUUGCAUGCAAUACCUGAAUUAUUAUUCCUUUGUUAUUUCUCUAUGAGUGACCAAAAACCUUUCUCCUCUCUCCACAAAAGCAAUCAAAGGCUGAUGGAUGGAUGACUUCAUAUUUGUGGUUGGUGUAUGCAUUCAUAGCUCUGGUUUUGAUCCAGAUCAAAUGGUUGAUCUUUGAUAUUUUCUGUGGUGGUGUAAAAUGAGUUUUUCAUGAACAUUUUCAAGAGCUAUCCAUGGAUUGAGGGUCCAGAGAGAAACAUGCAAUACAAAAGUUUGGGCUUCUUCUUACUGCUUACUCUAGCUCGCUUGGUGCAGGUCGGGAACCCUUCGCACUUUAAUACCCUCACUAGCAGAGGGUUCCCGCCUUGCAUCAACUGAAUUGGAGACUACAGUAAAGAUUCGAUGUUUUACUAUGAUUGCACUGGAUUUUUAUCUUGCGGACAGAUUGCCGAAUUAAGCCUAAAGCUUAAUAGUUUGAGCUUGGGUGCAUGGAGCCUGAUGAGCUUGGAGUGAUCCCCAACUGAGGUUCUGCAGGUUUUGGCAGAUCUUGGCCCGUGCAAGCCCUAGACUACUUUCAAGAUCUACCGUACUCACAUGCACCCCUUCUUGAUGGAAUUUAUAUAUAGUUUUUAAGGCUUAUAGCUGGGUUCUUGCAGGCUUAGCAUGAUUAUGUUUCUAAGUAUGAUCCUGGUGCAGCAUUUGAUAAAGCUGUACAGUGUGUUACAGUUUCUACUCUGUCAAUAAAAUUUUGUGUUUGUUCUUCUAUUCAUAUGAUUUGAUUCAAUUGAAGGCUAUUCUUAGAGU